UGAAUAUAAGAACAUGUAUCUUAAUUUUUAACUAAAAAAGUUAAGAACCGGCUCUUAAAUAAGAGUUUAAGAAACGGUUCUUAGCUUUUUUAGUUAAAAGUUAAAAAACGGGUUCUUAUAUUCC
rfam:Brassica napus, WGS project CCCW01000000 data, contig: 18752